AUUGAACGCUGGCGGCAUGCUUUACACAUGCAAGUCGAACGGCAGCGCGGGGCAACCUGGCGGCGAGUGGCGAACGGGUGAGUAAUACAUCGGAACGUACCCAGAAGUGGGGGAUAACGUAGCGAAAGUUACGCUAAUACCGCAUACGUUCUACGGAAGAAAGUGGGGGACCUUCGGGCCUCAUGCUUUUGGAGCGGCCGAUGUCUGAUUAGCUAGUUGGUGAGGUAAAGGCUCACCAAGGCGACGAUCAGUAGCUGGUCUGAGAGGACGACCAGCCACACUGGGACUGAGACACGGCCCAGACUCCUACGGGAGGCAGCAGUGGGGAAUUUUGGACAAUGGGCGCAAGCCUGAUCCAGCAAUGCCGCGUGAGUGAAGAAGGCCUUCGGGUUGUAAAGCUCUUUUGUCAGGGAAGAAACGGCUGGGGCUAAUACCUCUGGCUAAUGACGGUACCUGAAGAAUAAGCACCGGCUAACUACGUGCCAGCCGCCGCGGUAA
rnacentral:rRNA from 1 species